AGAGCGAACGCUGGCGGCAGGCCUAACACAUGCAAGUCGAACGGACCCUUCGGGGUUAGUGGCGGACGGGUGAGUAACACGUGGGAACGUGCCUUUAGGUUCGGAAUAGCUCCUGGAAACGGGUGGUAAUGCCGAAUGUGCCCUUCGGGGGAAAGAUUUAUCGCCUUUAGAGCGGCCCGCGUCUGGUUAGCUUGUUGGUGAGGUAAUGGCUCACCAAGGCUACGAUCAGUAGCUGGUCUGAGAGGAUGACCAGCCACAUUGGGACUGAGACACGGCUCAAACUCCUACGGGAGGCAGCAGUGGGGAAUCUUGCGCAAUGGGACGAAAGCCUGACGCAGCCAUGCCGCGUGUAUGAUAG
rnacentral:rRNA from 1 species